UACAUACAUACAUAGACACAUCAGUUAAUUAGUUAUCGAAAAUGAACAAGUCAAUAUUGUUGGUGGUGGUUUUGAGUUUGGUGAUAGGGGUGACAAUGGCUGAGCUUGAAAGCGAGAAGCAAUACGGGCCGUGCGGGAAGUUCAGCACACAGAGGAUACUCACUCAUAAGCUCAGGCACUGCGAGAAACCAGCAAGAAACUUGUACGCACCCGUCUCUAGGCAGUGUUGCCAGGACCUUCAAAACGUCUCCUUCCAAUGCCUCGUUACCGUCUUCAGUUCCGACGCCUUCACCAAAAUCGGUGUCGACCCACACGUCGCCAUGACCAUCCCCUCUCGCUGCCACCACGCCUAUCAUGACAACCCCUAAACCCUGCAGCAUAUGAUCACAUACCUUGAAGGCUAAGAGUGUGAGCUAUGUAUGGCGCCUGAAGUUAUGCCAUAUGGUCAAGUUCAAGUUACAAUAAUAGUUGUUCUUCUAUCUUUAAUAUAUAAUAAAUUGAGCUCGCUAUGUAUAUAUAGCAGCUCACACAUGUAUGUUCAAUUGUAAUAAACUAUAACGUAAUAAAUAAAUAGCUUUCGGCUUUCUUAGCCUUUCAAGUAAUUAUAUAA